UGGGGAAUCAUGGUCAAUGGGCGAAAGCCUGAACCUGCGACGCCACGUGAGUGAUGAAGGCCUUCGGGUUGUAAACCGCUGUCAGUGGGGAGGAAAUCCAGGGGAGUUAUCUCUUCUGGUUGACCUAUCUUCGGAGGAAGUGCGGGCUAAGUUCGUGCCAGCAGCCGCGGUAAGACGAACCGCACAAACGUUAUUCGGAAUCACUGGGCUUAAAGGGUGCGUAGUCGGUCCGGAAAGUUGGGUGUGAAAUCCCUCGUCUCAACCGAGGAACUGCGCUCAAAACUACCGGACUUGAGGGAGACAGAGGUGAGCGGAACUUAGGGUGGAGCGGUGAAAUGCGUUGAUAUCCUGAGGAACACCAGUUGCGAAGGCGGCUCACUGGGUCUUUUCUGACGCUGAGGCACGAAAGCUAGGGGAGCGAACG
rnacentral:rRNA from 1 species